UACGUAGGGUGCAAGCGUUGUCCGGAAUUAUUGGGCGUAAAGAGCUCGUAGGCGGUUUGUCGCGUCUGCUGUGAAAACGCGAGGCUCAACCUCGCGCCUGCAGUGGGUACGGGCAGACUAGAGUGCGGUAGGGGAGAUUGGAAUUCCUGGUGUAGCGGUGGAAUGCGCAGAUAUCAGGAGGACACCGAUGGCGAAGGCAGAUCUCUGGGCCGUAACUGACGCUGAGGAGCGAAAGCGUGGGGAGCGAACAGGAUAGAAACCCU
rnacentral:rRNA from 1 species